AUGCCUCCUCACCAGGGUUAUUUUUCCAGCAAAGCCACAAAGGGCAGGGUUGGUACGACGGAGAGGUGGGACUGCAGGGCRGGACAGCGCUUUCCGCACCGAGGGAAGCAAAAAGGGCUCUGCUCCCGGCGGCAGGUUCCUGCCGCAGCCGUCUCCCUGCCCUCCUCCUCCGGCGCCCCCGGGACGCGGGGCGGCUCCCGCGGGAUGCCCCGGCACGCCACCCCACGCAAGCGACCCCAUUCCUUCCCUGCUCCCGAAACGCUCUCGGUCCGAAGGAAAGUCGCGCGGGGACAGUCCCGCGCCCCGGUCCCGCGCCCUGGUCCCGCGCCCCCCCGCCGCGCUGCCCUCCCUGCCUGCAAGCAUCAGCUCACCCCCGGCGGCCGGCGGAGAGUGAGGCCGAAGAAGCGGCUCCGCGGAGGGUGCCGYGGCAGACGUCGGUGCGGCGCGGCGCGCAAACAGGAAACGCCGGGGAGGCAGAAGCAGCCGCCGAGCAGCGCUGCAACACGGCCCGGGGCCCGAGCGCGCCCCUGCGAGCGGCAGCCCCCACCGGCGCCUGGCCGGGCUCGCCGCUGCCGCCGCCGCCACCUUCCCCUCGCCCAGACGGGGAGCGGGGUCACGCCGGCCGCCGCCGAGGGCCUCACGUCGUACCCGUCUCGCCAGCCCGCGCCGGAUCCAGGCUCUGCCUGCGUGACUCAGCUCGGCGCGCGUCUCCGCGGCACGGCGCUCGGGGCGGUGGCGGCGAGCCGGACCCCACCGCCGGGCACAGCCGCGGCCCCCUCUGCCCUCCGCCGGGCUGGGCCGGGCCGGAUGGUGACGAGCACAUGCGCACGUGCGCGCGGGCGCCCAGGCCCGCGAGGAGGAGGAGGAGGAGAGGCGAAGGAAAUGGUGUCAGCCCGCCCGCCGCCGGCACCCGUGGCGGGGCGCUGUGCCCGCCGUGCCGCACGCUGCGCCGCAGGGACCAGAAGGGCCCCGCCGCGUCGCUUCCCGGCCCCACGCCUGCAACGGGGGGGGGGGCACGCCCAGCUCCCUAAACUGGUUCCAACCGGGAAGCGCUCCUCCGAGGGCUGCACGCCGCUUCAGGAGCRAGAGGGGGCUGCGAACGCGCGGGCAGCUCCCUCCUCGGGGCGCAGACCGCUGCCAAACGGCGACGAGAAACGCUUCUGCAGGAGGAAACUGCCCCAAGGGGGGGUCGAUUCCCUGCGGGGAAACCGGGGCCGGGACGCGGCCAGAGCGGGUGCCCCCGCGGGUCCGACCGGCCUGGGCGCCCCUCGGCAGCGGCGGGGGAGAAGACGGGCCGGGAUGGGGCGCACGGAGAGAGACGGGGCUCCGAAACGCUGCCGGCUCGCUCCCGAAGCGCGGCCACCCUCGCCGCGUGCCGAGCGGCAUGCCUGCGGGAGCGCCGGCCUUCCCCGCACGCGGCCUCGGAAAAGGCAGCGAGAGGAAGGCUGCGCCGGUGCGCGCCAGGAUCCCGGAGCAACGUCCGGCCAGAGCGGUCCACACCCGGCGAGGGCAGGGAGCCGGCCGGGACACAACGCCGCUCUUGUUCCCGAGGAGGAUGCGCGUUUCCUCCCGGCGCAAGCGGAAGGAGGAAGGUGCCCUGGGAAGGAAGCGAAAGUGGCGGCUCCGGGUUCGAGUCCCCGCUCUGCCCCGGCACGCUGCGUGCAGCGAGUCCGCCCUGCUCCGCCGGGCGCGUACCGACACGGCGCUGCUGCUCCGGAGCGGCUCCGAGGGCCGUGA
ensembl:lncRNA